rnacentral:rRNA from 1 species
UACGUAGGGGGGCUAGCGUUGUCCGGAAUCAUUGGGCGUAAAGCGCGUGUAGGCGGUCCGGUAAGUCCGCUGUGAAAGUCGGGGGCUCAACCCUCGGAUGCCCGGGUGGAUACUGGCGUGCUUGAGGGACUGGAGAGGAGACUGGAAUUCAUGGUGUAGCAGUGAAAUGCGUAGAGAUCAUGAGGAAGACCAGUGGCGAAGGCGGUCUCUGGACAGUUUCCUGACACUGAGGCACGAAGGCCCAGGGAGCAAACGGG